AGACUUGUCUCCCUCUUGUUCUUCGCCGUUCUGCUUCGCGUCGAACGUUUAGGGUUCCGAUCUCCGGGAAGAUGGCUGCAAACCCUAGGGUCUUCUUCGACCUCACCAUCGGCGGAGCUCCGGCGGGGCGUGUCGUGAUGGAGCUCUUCGCUGACGUGACGCCGAAGACGGCGGAGAACUUCCGUGCGCUCUGCACCGGGGAGAAGGGGCGGGGGCGCUCCGGCAAGCCCCUCCACUACAAGGGAUCGACCUUCCACCGGGUGAUCCCGCAGUUCAUGUGCCAGGGCGGCGACUUCACCGCCGGGAACGGCACCGGCGGCGAGUCGAUCUACGGCUCCAAGUUCGAGGACGAGAACUUCGUGAAGAAGCACGAGGGCCCCGGCAUUCUGUCCAUGGCCAACGCCGGUCCGGGGACGAACGGAUCGCAGUUCUUCAUCUGCACGGCCAAGACGUCUUGGCUGGACGGCAAGCACGUCGUCUUCGGGCGGGUCGUUGAGGGACUGGACGUCAUCCGCGCCGUGGAGAAGGUGGGGUCCUCCAGCGGUCGGACCUCCAAGCCCGUCGUCAUAGCCGACUGUGGCCAACUCUCCUAGACGCCCGCACCCUCCUCCGCCGUGAUCCCUACCGCCGAUCUACGGAUCUCCCCCUCGUGUGUCCUCGUUGUUGUGAUCCCACUGCCUACGUGCGUCGUCCUCUCAGUGACAUCGUUUCCCCCUGUCGUCCUCUUAGCGUUUCCGCCUUUCGAUCUACGGCAGCUGCUUUCUGGAUGCCUAUUUUUGAUCUGUGUGAAAGCCGCGGCGGGUGGGUAGAACUCGACACUAGUAUGAAUCGAUAUGAAAUAAACUUCUACCUCGCCCUCUUUUUCCGCAAUCUCCUCGUAGCUCAACACACAGAUGAUCUUGUCCAACAUUUUCUGAUUACCGAUGAUCGCGGAAAUGAUAAUACCGUAGAACUGUGCAUCGGGCUCAACUGGCCGAGAUCUUGAUUCUCCGC
rnacentral:lncRNA from 1 species